GCUAAGGAGGGGCCGGCGUCGGGGGUAAGACGGUGGGGGCAAGCGUGGUCCGGAUUUAGUGGGCGGAAAGAGCGUGUAGGCGGCCUGGAAGGUCAGCUGUGAAAACUCGCGGCCCAACCUCGAGACGUCGGUUGAAACCACCUGGCUAGAGUCCGGAAGAGGAGUGUGGAAUUCCCGGUGUAGCGGUGAAAUGCGCAGAUAUCGGGAAGAACACCCGUGGCGAAGGCGGCACUCUGGGACGGUACUGACGCUGAGACGCGAAAGCGUGGGGAGCGAACAGGAUUAGAUACCCGGGUAGUC
rnacentral:rRNA from 1 species